AUACCUCUGCUGUGUGCGAUUAUCGUUGAUGUGUUUUGAGCCAACACAUCACGAUAGGGCCAUUAAUACUCCGCUUGCGGGAUGACACCUCAUUGGUUUGCCAAGAGGCACACGAAGCAUUCGGGAUUAUGCCCACCUGCUUAGGCAGGUUCAAAACGACAACGAGAAACGGCAUGAUGGAGGGUAA
rnacentral:other from 1 species